CGAUAUUUUGACGAAAACUCAGUGGAUAAGUAUUAAAAUAUCGGUAACUCAAAAAACUGAUAUUAUCGAUGAAAUAUCGCCGAUAAUAUCGGCAUUUCAUACCUUGUGUGUUACCAUAUAAGUGAACGACAUGUGUCGCAAUGUAAAAUGGGCACGUAGAGUAUAUAUCAUAUUAACAAAACAAAAUUAUUAUAUACAAAUUAUCUAUUCUAAAAUUGAGGAAGGCUUUGACUGUAGCUUAGCUACAGUAAAAAAUUUCCCCCUUGAUUUUGCUGUAUUUACCCACUGUUGCCACCAAAUCUGUGUUGGGCUGGGGUAAUUACUAAAAGUUAGGAGGGUAAUAUUGUCCGUAGGUGCCCUAGGCCUAUUUUUGGGUUGCUGAUUUUGGGCCAGGUGUGUGCUUCGGAAGUGGGUUGUCCAAUGUGCUGGGUUGCGUUGCACAGAAAGAGUCAAAAUGACUCUUUUGCCCUCUUCAAACCAGAUCUAACGGACAGGAUCUGGAGGCACUUUAGUCAUUCUGUGUUUAGGGGUGGUUGUUGUCGAUGUCGUCAGAGGCAUGGUUGUCAGAGGGGUUGAUGGGUUACAGGUAGAAAGAGAGUUGACGAGAGGGGUUCCGGGUGGACAGAGUAGGGUUUGGGUGCAGGAUUACAGGGAGAGAAGGUGAGAGGGUGGGUGCGGUCAUGUUCGAUUUGGGGGUAAGGUUCUGGGAAAGGGACGCGUGUUUGCUGCAGAGAAAGGGGGAGGUAUGGUUUGCCCAGGGGGUGGGGUUGUGGGGAAGGAGGUGUAGGUUGAGGUGCGGGUGUAGGGUUGGUUAUUUCCACACCAAACAUCAUCAUCCUCUUUUCAGUAAAUAGAAUUAGUACCAGCUGAACAGAGUUCCUCCCUGCAACUCCUCCUCCAUUACUGCAUUCGAAUUUUCUACAAUGGUGAACAUAAAGGUUUAUGUGGAUUUACGUGUUGGUGAUGUUAUUCGUUUUGGGCUGUGUGAGUAUCUCCUUAUCUUAACUCUCACUCUGCAACGCGAUUGACCAUUUCUUCGAUCUCUGUUUCGUUUUCUCUUCAAUCCUGCUUUGCAAUCUCCGUUGUUCACCCCACCUUCUCAUCUCCGUUGGUAUUUCCACCAACCAAUGAAGAGCCCGGAGUUUGAACAUGAAAUGGCCAGGAGGCCGCCCAGUGCAAGGUAUAUUUGAUCUCCCUUGCACACCUCGCCUUCUCAUCGUCGUCGCACACCUUACCAGAACUUGAAUCAAUGGUAACGUAUAAAUUGUAUAAAUUGUAUGGAUUGCACGCCUAUUUUAAUCUUCGUUAACGAAAUUAGCGUUUAAGUUGAAUAAUUCAUGCUCUUUUGAUAUUGGAAAUUAGGAUCUGAUUUCUCAAUCCUAUGCUUCUUUGCUGUAUAAGAUGAGUUUGGUUAUAUUACUCAAAAACGGGAUAUUUUUUUUUCAGUGAGAAAGUGAAAAUCCCUAGCCUUUAGAUUUUCAAGUAUUUUGUCAGCAAUAAUAAUUUGUUUUUUCAGUUUUAUAUGUGUGUCUGUCUCCAAAUAUGAGGAUCUCUUAAUUUGCUUAUGUAGCUUUUGUGGUAUGAUGAUCUCUUAUUUUGCUUUUGCAUAUCUUCUUUGCUUCCUCUGCUAGCUCUAUAUGUGAUUCUAUCUCCAAAAAAUUAUUCCAUAUUUCCUAUUUUUAUAGGAACCAAAUCAUUGAAUACACAUGGAAAAUUAAAAGGGUUUUAGUUUUUGGAUUGGUUUAAAUUUUGUUGUUGUUAUUGGUUGUAUUGUUGUCAAAUAUUUGAUGGGAAGUUUGAAAUGGAGAACUUGGUUGAUUGGGACAGAGAGAAUCUGACAGCUGUAGACUCUGAUUUACUGGCUUCGCAAUGGAGAAGUUAUUUCUCGGUUCACUUCCGCAGCGUAAACCAACUUCUCUGUUCAGUUCUCAGAUAUGAGGUUUCUGAGCUACCUCUUUUCUGGAAUGAAACAUUUGAAUAGUACCCACGGGGAUAUCCCAUUAAUUAGGUCAGUUUUUGUUUAAUUGGGAUUCUUAAAUUUGAUAUUAGAGAUUUUAAUUUGAUUGGGUUUUGGAUUGCAUUGUACACUGUUUCAGGUAUCUUUAGCAAAAUAGGAUCUUUUUUGGGGAUUCUAGAAGUUCAGUUGAACGCUAAUAUUAAAUUUCUAACCCCGGUGGUGCCUCUCUCUAUUUGAGUUUGAGUUGGGGAUGGUGGACAAUGAGCAAUUUGGAGAUUUAUCGUAGUGCAAUUUGUCAUUUCCACGGACCACCUAUAAUACUGGCUUACAUUUUUCUUCUUUUUUCUUUGCCUAUAGUAAUAUUAUUGUUUAUUUCCAAGAUUUGAGUUUGUCAUUCAGAAGAGAUGCUUCAUUCAGAAAAUUGAAAUUUCCCAAAUAUUUGUUAAUAGUUGUAUCCCUUGUAGAAGGAUUUAAUUUUCUUGGAUGUCUACUUUUGAGCUUUAAGUUUUCAUGUAUCCAGCAUUACUAGACCAAAAAAAGCGCAGUGUCGUGAAGUAAUUAGGACUGUUUAUGUUCCUUUUUUAUUUUAUUUUUUAUGUUGAAUUGACAAGUGGUUUUAAAUAAUGGAUAAUUUUUUUACUGGAUUUAGUUUCUGUGUUUGGCUUGAGAGUAAAUUCAGAGAGCUAAAAUGCUGUAAAGUUUGAAUAUUUAUGUUUAAUGUUGUAUUGGGUUUGGAUUAAUUUUGUUUGUUUGAUAUUAGAAAUUGAGUGAUAGGGAAUUUGCGCUUUUCUCCCUUUUGAAUAGGGUUUAACUCAUUUCUCAUUUUCUGUUUGGUUUUCGAGAAAAUUGAGGGAAAAAAGAUAGAAGAUUAAUGAAUUCACUGAAUUGAGUGCUUUAAGUCCAUUUAUGAUUGAAGUUAUUCCGUUUGCUUUCAUUUCUGUUUUUGUUCUUUUGGGUUUCGAGCACAUUGAGGAUGGUAAAAUCAAUUAUUUUGAUUUUGGAAGUCUACUUUGUUUUUCAGCUUUAGUGCUUGGGAUAAGCAAAAAUGUGAUUUCAUGUAUGGUGGUUGUAUUUGUCUGUUAUUUGAAAGGAAUUCAAACAGAGAGAGAGGGAGAGGGUAGGUUUGUUGUCAGUGAAAUUGAAGGAUGGUCUGAUGUAUCCUUGCAAGUGAACUAUAUGCUCGCACACCCUCAUCCAGUGGAACCUGUAACUGAUAACUGCAGAUAUUUUGUUCUACGUGUAGAGGGGAACAUUGGUGGGCUUAUAUACUCUCUAACCGUUGCAAUCUCUAAUGAUUUAGUGAAUCCUAUUAUCCUAUUGUUGGAACAAUUCAAAGAGUGUUUUAGCUUGUAUUUCCCUUCGUUAUUGGCUCCUAAGAUAGAUUUCCCCCCUUACCCAGUUCACUGUUGUGCAUUUGACCUAUAAUCAUACAUGGGAGAUAUUGGGUGAAAAAUUGUAAAAGGAUGUUUUGAGAAUCAUCUAGAGAAUACCUCUUUAAUUCUCACUUUCUCCUUAAGAGUUGUAGUUCUGGGCAGUGCGAUGGUGAGAUAUUUUUAAAUUCGUUCCAAUUAUAGUAAAAGGUAGCAUGCUUUUCUUCCCGUGGUUCA